rnacentral:pre_miRNA from 1 species
CCUGUGCAAAAAGUCGUUAAGCCGUUGAGCCAAGCGACAAGAUGAUUGGCUUAGCAACUUCAUUGCAUGGAGU